UACGUAGGUGGCAAGCGUUGUCCGGAUUUACUGGGAGUAAAGAGCGCGCAGGCGGUUGAUUAAGUCGGAUGUGAAAGCCCCCGGCUCAACUGGGGAGGGUCAUUCGAUACUGAUUGACUUGAAGGCAGGAGAGAGAAGUGGAAUUCCCGGUGUAGUGGUGAAAUGCGUAGAUAUCGGGAGGAACACCAGUGGCGAAGGCGACUUCUUGGCCUGUUCUUGACGCUGAUGCACGAAAGCUAGGGGAGCAAACAGG
rnacentral:rRNA from 1 species